GACGAACGCUGGCGGCGUGCUUAACGCAUGCAAGUCGAACGGAAAGGCCCUGCUUUUGUGGGGUGCUCGAGUGGCGAACGGGUGAGUAACACGUGAGUAACCUGCCCUUGACUUUGGGAUAACUUCAGGAAACUGGGGCUAAUACCGGAUAGGAGCUCCUGCUGCAUGGUGGGGGUUGGAAAGUUUCGGCGGUUGGGGAUGGACUCGCGGCUUAUCAGCUUGUUGGUGGGGUAGUGGCUUACCAAGGCUUUGACGGGUAGCCGGCCUGAGAGGGUGACCGGCCACAUCGGGACUGAGAUACGGCCCAGACUCCUACGGGAGGCAGCAGUGGGGAAUAUUGCACAAUGGGCGGAAGCCUGAUGCAGCAACGCCGCGUGCGGGAUGACGGCCUUCGGGUUGUAAACCGCUUUCGCCUGUGACGAAGCGUGAGUGACGGUAAUGGGUAAAGAAGCACCGGCUAACUACGUG
rnacentral:rRNA from 1 species